GCAUCUGUAACUUAACUGGGAGAGCAGCGGUCUCUUAAACCGAUAGAUGCAGGUUCAAUUCCUGUCAGAUGCACCA
rnacentral:tRNA from 1 species